AGAGUUUGAUCAUGGCUCAGAAUCAACGCUGGCGGCGUGCCUAACACAUGCAAGUCGAACGCGGUUAUUCAGCAAUGGAUAACUGAGUGGCGAACGGGUGAGUAACACGUGGGUGACCUACCUUCGAGUGGGGGAUAACGUCCCGAAAGGGACGCUAAUACCGCAUAACAUCCUGCCUUUGAACAGGUGGAGAUCAAAGCCGGGGACCGUAAGGCCCGGCGCUUGAUGAGGGGCCCGCGUCUGAUUAGCUAGUUGGUGAGGUAAUAGCCCACCAAGGCGACGAUCAGUAUCCGGCCUGAGAGGGCGGACGGACACACUGGGACUGAGACACGGCCCAGACUCCUACGGGAGGCAGCAGUGGGGAAUUGUUCACAAUGGGCGCAAGCCUGAUGACGCAACGCCGCGUGGAGGAUGAAGGUCUUCGGAUUGUAAACUCCUGUUGCCCGGGACGAAAAGCUUCGACCUAACACGUCGAAGUCUGACGGUACCGGGUGAGGAAGCCCCGGCUAACUCUGUGCCAGCCGCCGCGGUAAUUC
rnacentral:rRNA from 1 species